UCCUGUUAAGGAAAAUAAAUCUACGGGGUGAGCAAUUGCUCGUGAGGCCAAGAACACACAUGCAAGCACGUUGUCCAAAUAACAAUCUCAAUUUUCAAGUAGAACAAUAAUAUUCAAGUAAUAUUACAAUUCGAGCGAGAAAAGUAAACAGAAACAAUUUAAGGACAUAGGAGCUCUCAGGAGCUAUUUUUCACUUGCACGAUCAAGAACCUCUACGAAUUGACACUCCGUCAAUUGGGUAGGUUAUAGUCCGUAGAACUUCGCUUAGCCUGUCCCCGUUCACCGUUACAUACCCCUGUAC
rnacentral:lncRNA from 1 species